rnacentral:rRNA from 1 species
GAUGAACGCUGGCGGCGUGCUUAACACAUGCAAGUCGAACGGAAAGGCCCCUGCUUGCAGGGGUACUCGAGUGGCGAACGGGUGAGUAACACGUGGGUGAUCUGCCCUGCACUUCGGGAUAAGCCUGGGAAACUGGGUCUAAUACCGGAUAGGACGAUGGUUUGGAUGCCAUUGUGGAAAGUUUUUCGGUGUGGGAUGAGCUCGUGGCCUAUCAGCAUGUUGGUGGGGUAAUGGCCUACCAAGGCGUCGGCGGGUAGCCGGCCUGGGAGGGGGUACGGCCACAUUGGGACUUGAGAACGGCCCAGACUCCCACGGGGGGCAGCAGGGGGGAAAAUUGCACAAAUGGCGCAAGCCUGAUGCAGCGACGCCGGGGGGGGGGUGACGGCCUUCGGGUUGGAAACUCCUUUCGCUAUGGACGAAGCGUUUUGUGACGGUAACUGGAAAAGAAGCACCGGCUAACUACGUG